AUUGAACGCUGGCGGCAUGCCUUACACAUGCAAGUCGAACGGCAGCACGGGAGCAAUCCUGGUGGCGAGUGGCGAACGGGUGAGUAAAGUAUCGGAACGUGCCCAGUCGUGGGGGAUAACGUAGCGAAAGUUACGCUAAUACCGCAUACGAUCUAUGGAUGAAAGCGGGGGAUCGCAAGACCUCGCGCGAUUGGAGCGGCCGAUAUCAGAUUAGGUAGUUGGUGGGGUAAAGGCUCACCAAGCCGACGAUCUGUAGCUGGUCUGAGAGGACGAGCAGGCACACUGGGACGGAGACACGGCCCAGACUCCUACGGGAGGCAGAAGUGGGGAAUUUUGGACAAUGGGCGCAAGCCUGAUCCAGCCGUGCCGCGUGCAGGAUGAAGGCCUUCGGGUUGUAAACUGCUUUUGUACGGAACGAAAAGGUUUGACUUAAUACGUUGGACUCAUGACGGUACCGUAAGAAUAAGCACCGGCUAACUACGUGCCAGCCGCCGCAGUAA
rnacentral:rRNA from 1 species